GACGAACGCUGGCGGCGUGCUUAACACAUGCAAGUCGAACGGAAAGGCCUGCUUUCCCUUGUGGAUUGCGGGUACUCGAGUGGCGAACGGGUGAGUAACACGUGAGUGAUCUGCCCCCAACUUUGGUAUAAGCCUGGGAAACUGGGUCUAAUUCCCGAUAGGACUGCAGGGUGGUGCCUGUGGUGGAAAACGAUUUUCUAGUGGUUGGGGAUGAGCUCGCGGCCUAUCAGCUUGUUGGUGGGGUAAUGGCCUACAAAGGCGGCGACGGGUAGCCGGCCUGGGAGGGUGGACGGCCACAUUGGGACUGAGAUACGGCCCAGACUCCUACGGGAGGCAGCAGUGGGGAAUAUUGCACAAUGGGCGGAAGCCUGAUGCAGCGACGCCGCGUGGGGGAUGACGGCCUUCGGGUUGUAAACUCCUUUCGACCGCGAGGAAGCCACCUGGUUGGAAGGGUGGUGACGGUAGUGGUAGAAGAAGCACCGGCUAACUACGUG
rnacentral:rRNA from 1 species